AAACAGAAAAGUGAGCAGCAGUUGAGGUCCUUCCGUGAGAUAAAUGGUCUCCCGUGCCCAUCGGGCAGCGAAACCCUAGAAUCGAAUCGACGCGAGGCGAGGCAGAGGCGGCGACCGAGACAAGCGAAAAGGAAACCGCGGAGGAGGCGAAGGAAGAUGCAAUCAUGUUCCGGCGGUCUGUCGGUUCCCUCCUCGCACGGAGGUUCGCGCCACGUGCGACCCCAAGGACUGCUCCUGCGCGCUCUCUCCACUCCUUGACGGAUCUCGCCGUCGGUGAUGGCCUUCUUAAUGCUUAUGUUCUUGCCGCGUGUGCGUUGGCUGGUGGUGGUGGGGGGUUGGUGAUUCGGCAUUUCAAGGAAGGCACAGGUGUUGAUGGAUCAGCUGCUGCUGGCAAGCUGAACCACAAUGUCAAGUUUAAGAAGCCGGACAUGAAGGAGAGGUUUGAGCGUUGGAUCGUCGUGCACGGAAAGACAUACCGAGAUGAGGAAGAGAAGGCUAUGCGGUUCGAAUUGUUCAAGGCCUCCCUCGAGAGUGUGGAAUCGCAGCUCCCGUCGGUCGAGGAGAGUGGUGUGCUUCCAGGGGUAAGCUGUUUUGCAGACUUUACAGAUGAGGAGAUUCGGAACUUGCUGGCCUUUCCCGACGGAAUUGACGAGUCUGAGUACGACGAGAUGGUCAAGUCUGCCUGGGCCAAGCAACAGAAAGGAAUGAAAACAGGAGAGCCAUUGAAAUGGAGGCCAGGUAUGACUCAGGGCGACAUGCGGGCAACUCAAGGUUCUGCAUAGAAUGGUGUCUAUUUGGUUAAUAAUAUCAUAUCUGGUGAAAGUCAAGUGGCUGGUGUUCUUGGAAACUGCUCUAAGUUUAGUUUGCUGCUAUGUUAACUCUGAACGGAGAAACAUGUGAGGACCAACAAUGUUGUUUGCUUGAUCAGUCCUUGUUUCUCUUUGGCGUUGCUUCCUGGAGAUUUCUCUUUUCCACCGGAAGAGAAGCAUGGAAAAUAGGAUAUGAUGAUAUCCUGUUUGUUUGUGCUGAAGUACUGACCAAUCAGUUGACCACCUUCCAUUGAGCACAUAUAUUAAAUUAUCUAAAUCUAGCUAGAGAAACUUUUUGUGGAUUUUUUUGAGUUUUUUCGCAGCUAAAACUGGCCAAGCUGACACGUGCAUUAGUUUAAGAUAUGGGUGUGUACGAGUUGUUGUGUGCACUUUGCGGUGGCGAUAUGGGUGUGCAUGAAUUGUUGCGUGCACUUUACGGUUUCUAUGGUGAAGCGAAUCUUGAAUUGGUUUUUCUUUCAGUUCAAUUUCCCCCACCUGUCCAUAUAGGACUCAUAUAGAUAAGGUCAACUUCCACGGGAGCGGCGUUGCAGAGGCCGGGCUCCAUGGAGCCCGUUUUACAAAAGAAAAAAAAUCAGUAUAUACUUAAAAGUUACAGAAAAUAUCAUUUUUUAUACAAAUACAAGUAUGUAAAAAGUUUCAUUAGGUAAUUCGAUUACUUGCGUGCUAGGCAAAAAAGAUAAGUAUCUGGCUCAAGAACAACAAAGAGAAAGCCCAUUUUUAUCAGUGUAUUUGUCUUUUUGUAUACAUUACUUUUAGAUAUUUCAAUUAGUCUCCUCACUAUGUAGGUCAAAAGUGGUGCUAAAUUCAGUUUUGGGUCAUUUGGCACCGGUGCUCUUACAAGGAUUAGCACCUCAAUUUGAGGGGAGAAUUGAUUUUAACCCCCCCUGCGCGCUCCACUUUGAUCUUGUACCCCCAUGUUCGUGCGACUCGCUCUGAGCCCCCCUGUUCCGACUCGUUCUUUGCUGAUUGCCCCCUUCUUGUUGUUAUGCGUUCAGUUUGCUACUAAUGAAAGAAAAACUGGUCUGGUAAUAUUUCUAUUUGACGAAACUGCCCUCAAUACCCCCAACACGCUAGAUAAAAAAACCCUCACGCGAGACAGGGCCACCAGUUCGCUCGCUCGUUCCAGCUCUCCACCCAGCCGCCUAUUCGCUCUCGCCCCGCCGCCGCCCCUGCUGCUCCGCCGUCGCCCUGCUGCUCCGCCGUCGCCCUUGCUGCUUCGCCGCCCUCCAUUGCUGCCCCAAGGUAAGGCAAGCUUCCCCCUUCCCUUUUCCAUGGAGUUGGUGUAGUUCCCCUUGUACGGACGUCUAAAUCUUAGAAACCCUAGGUACCGAGGGAGAUGGGGAUUUGAGUGAGAGGGGUUGGAUCGGCAAAGGGGUGUGAUGGAUCUGAAAAGGUAACAUCAUAUUCCCUUGUUUUGGUUUGAUGUAUGCAUGACUUUUUGUGUGAAAUUUCUGAUUUUUUUGUCUAUAUUGAAUAGGAUCGAUGCAAUGUCUGUGCAUGAUUCUAAUCAAUCCAGUGUGACAAACCUAACCACGAGGAUGGUCUCGUGCAAUGAAGUAGAAACCGUUGGUACCAUUGUCGAUUGGUCAAGUCUUGUGAUCGAACCUGAAAAUGAUGGGGAUGAAAAGGGGAUUCCGGAUGAAAAGCCGGCGGACGAGAAAGCCAUGUUUGCUCUGUUGGGUUUGAAAACAGAGGAGGGCGAGGGAAAAACUAACCUUGGUCCUGUUGUCACUCCUACUCCUGAUUAUGACUUGGAUGAUGUCAAAGGGGCAGCUAUUGCUGUUGAUGAUAAUGCUCCAGAGGAGCCACUUAUUGCGUGGGAUGAACGAAAAUCAAAGAUGGAUAUAGGGACCCCUUAUCCUGAUAUGGCUGCGUUUAGAAAGGCUAUAAAACAGUUCACUAUCAAUGGAGAGUUCGAAUAUGGCACUAAAAAAAAUGAGCCGGCAAGGUUUCGGGCUUUUUGUAAAGGUCAAUCCAUGAUAGGCCAACCUUGCAAAUGGUCCUUAACUGCUAGUUGGCAGAGAGACGAAAAUUGUGUGAUGGUUGUGAAGCAUCAAACAGAACAUAUUUGUAGUUCAACGAGUGGAAAAGUGACUAGAAUGACAAGUCAAUCUUGGGUGGCUGACAAGGCAGCAACUAUGCUUAAGAAAGAUCCAACCAUUGGUGCUGUGAAGAUACUUAAAGAGUUACAGGAAGAGCAUCAUGUCACACUUGACUAUAACACAGUGUGGAAAGGCAAACAAAAGGCAACAACCAGCUUGUAUGGGAGUUGGGAAGAAAGUUUCAGGAUGUUGUACAACUACAAGGCCGAGAUAGAAUUGAGGUCUCCAGGGAGUAUUGUAGAGAUUGAUACAACCACAAGUGAAGGUGAAGUACAUUUCAGCAAGCUAUUUAUUGCUUUCAAGCCAUGCAUAGAUGGGUUUCCGAAUGGAUGUAGGCCAUAUAUCAGCAUAGACUCAACUCACUUAAAUGGCAAGUGGAAAGGUCAGCUAGCUGUAGUCACUGCUUUGGACGGUGACAAUUGGAUGUUCCCGGUGGCGUAUGGCUUUAUUGAGUCUGAAAAUGGAGAAAAUUGGGCUUGGUUCAUGAAUCAAGUGAAGAAGGCAAUAGGGGACCCUCCAGUACUGGCUGUUUGUACGGAUGCUUGCAAGGGUCUUGAAAAUGCUGUUAAAAAGGUUUUCCCUCAAGCUGAGCAGCGUGAGUGCUUUAGGCAUAUGUGGCAUAAUUUUCAGAAAUAUUUUCAUGGUGAUGUGUUUGGACGGUUGUGGCCUGCUGCUAGGGCAUAUAGGGCGGAAGAAUAUCAACAUCACAUGACAAAGGUGUUUGAGGCAUCUGAGAAAGCGUAUCCUUACCUUAGGGAUUACCAUAAUCUGUUAUGGAUGAGGUGCAUGUUCAAUCCUGACAUCAAGUGUGACUACAUAAAUAACAAUCUUGCUGAGUGCUUUAAUUCUUGGGUGCGAGAAAUCAAGGACUUGCCGAUUGUUCAGCUAGCUGAUAAGAUUAGAGAGAUGAUUAUGGACCUAUUUAGAAAGAGGAGAAUGAUUGGAGAGAAAUUGGUAGGGAAAAUACUGCCAUUUGUCAUACACCAAUUAAAUGCAAAGACUCGAGGACUAGGACAUCUCAAGGCUAAAACAUCAGCUGAUUGGAGUGGAGAAGUGAAAAAUGAUAACAAAGGGGAUGAAAGACAUGUCGUCAAAACACUCACACAUGAGUGUACAUGUCUGCAAUGGCAGCACACAGGCAAGCCUUGUGACCAUGCACUAGCCUUCAUAAAUGUUUUGCAAGCUCGCAACUUUGUGAACAUGGAGGAUUAUGUGCACGGGUACUACUCAGUUAGCAGAUUCAGGGCAGCAUAUGAAGGUGUAAUUGAGCCCCUUACGGACAAGAAUCAGUGGCCACAUGUUGAUACAGGCUUUGUGUUGCGUCCACCAAUUCCAAAAGGCAAGAAAAAAGGUGCUGGAAGAACAAGAAAACAGAGGAUGAAGAGUUGGUGGGAAGGUUGAUCAAGGAAGGGAUCAUUGAACAAAUGCAACAAAUGUGGGGACGUAGGACAUAGAGAAGUCGGCUGUCCUCAAAAUGGAACAAAGAAACGGAAAAGUAUGGGGAAAAAGAAUCCAUCUCCAUGGUUUGAUGUCUCAGUUAGCAAUGUGAUUCCAUCUACACCAACCAAGAGCAAGAAUGUCGCCACUUGUAGCAGUCCUGGAGCUGUGACAAGAAGCCAAGCGGCAUCUCAAGCUAGUCCUGGAGCUGUCACAAGGAGCCAAGCAACAUCUGAAGCUGCUACUCCACCACCAAAGUCUCCAGCAAAAGGAAAGAAGAAGAAAAUGACUCCAAAGAGGAAGAAAUUAAGCGAUCUGUGAUGAACUUGUGUUAUUGCUAUGUGUGAGGUGCAGACUCACUUUAUUGUUCUGUAUGUGAGGUGCAAACUCUCCUUUUGGUCCUGUGUAAGUGAGGCAGAGACUCACUAUUAUUCUGCUAUGUGUGUGAGGUAGAGACUCACUUUAAUUCUGCUGUGUAAGUGAGGUGGAGACUCACCUUUAUUUGUUGUCAUGCAGUUCUGUAGAACCUUGCUGAACUUAUUAUA